rnacentral:rRNA from 1 species
UACGUAGGGGGCAAGCGUUGUCCGGAAUCAUUGGGCGUAAAGCGCUCGUAGGUGGAUCGGUAAGUCUGCAAAGAAAGACCCGGGCUCAACUCGGGGAACGGUGUGGAUACUACCGAUCUUGAGGCAAUCAGAGGAUGAUGGAAUUCCCGGUGUAGCGGUGAAAUGCGUAGAUAUCGAGAGGAACACCAGUGGCGAAGGCGAGUCCCUGGACAACUUCUGACGCUGAGGCACGAAAGCUAGGGGAGCAAACAGG